rnacentral:lncRNA from 10 species
CUCGCUGCCGCCUUGCAGUUUGAUCUCAGACUGCUGUGCUAGCAAUCAGCGAGACUCCGUGGGCGUAGGACCCUCCGAGCCAGGUUCCAUCCUGGUUCUCAGUCCACAUGGAAGAAUAUCCAUGAGAGGGUAUGCAGUCUUCUGACAUCCCACAGAGCACAGCUGCACCAAAACAAGGAAGAUUCUACCUCUGAAGUAAAUUAUAUCAUUGAAAGACCAAGCUACCCUCUGAAGAAAUACUCACUGCAUGAACAGAGAUAUUUUUAAGGGGAAAUUAAUGAAAGCUUAAGGAGAAUCAUGAAGAGCUCACUCACUGAGACAAUUGAAGCAUCCUUAAAGAAAUGAACACUUUUUGUUGUCUGUGUUGAGUCACUGAUGUCUAAUCCCCUUUAAACCAAACCCUGUACUCAGUCUUUUGUGCCCAGGUAAGAGUUGUUGAUUAAAGUGUUUGCUGUUUGGGGGCUAACAUUUUCUUGUCAAGCUGGAAAAUUUGUGUUUUUGCAUGUUUGUUUUGAACAUGAAAGAGAAAGCGCUGUAGUUGGGUGGCAGGUGCUUAUCUGAACACUUCCCCUCUCUCUCUCUCUGGCUCUCUCUGGCUCUCUCUGUCUCUCUCUCUCAAAUUAAUUAUAUAUGAGCUAGAGGAAGUUGCUAUUCACAGGAAUAACCUGAUAAAUCCUCCAGGAAAGACUAUCAACCUGACUUUCUCUUUUCGGUAGAUCCGUUUUUGUUGUUGUUUGUUUAUUUCUUAGUGUUAGGCUUGAUUUACGUGAAGUCCACUAAAAACCUUGGAAAAGAGAGCAUUACGUCUGGGUAGUUCAGAUCUUGUUUUAGAUGUUGAAUGUCUGUGAUAAAUUUGUAAGAGGAGGCUGGCUCCUCUGGAGCGUAGUUUAAACUGCUCCUUCUGUUUCCUACUCCUUCGUUCCAGCAAUUCUUUGUAAAUUUAGAUGAGGAACAAAACCUUCCUCAAAUAUUUCUCCAAAAGAACUACACAUUAAGUAAAUAGGUUCUACAGAUAGGACUGCCAAUGCCAGGUUUUAAAGUUAGUUAGGAAGGUGCAUCUAUGAAAUGCUUACACAGUGUGAGGGAGCAGGAAUAGGAAGGGGCUGGGAUAAAGGGAGACUAGAGGCACAUUUGUCUUCAUUGAUACAGACCCAGAGAAGAGGGGCCUGAAAAUGGAAACUUAUUUCCCUCCUUCAUAGUGUAAGCAUAGCAUUUUCCUCUACCAGCCCUACUAUAGUGUGAAUGUUUGUGUCCCCUCAACAUUUGUAUGUUGAAAUCCUAACCUCUAAGGAAAUGGGGCCUUUUGGGAGGUGAUGAGGUUGUGAGGGUGGACCCCUCAUAAAUGAGAUUAGUGCCCUAUAAAUAGGCUCAAGGGAGCUCGUUUGCCCCUUCCACUGGCGAGGAGACAGCGAGAAGGCGCCAUCUCUGACCCAGGAAGAGGGCCCUCACCAGAUUCUGCAUCUGCCAACAUUCUGAUCUUGGACUUCCCAGCUUCCAGAACUGUGAGAAAUGAAUUCCUGUAGUUUGUAAGCUACCCAGUUUAUGACAUUUUGUUAUAGCAGCCUGAAUAGAGUAAGACACUACCCUAAAACUUGUUCAGUUUUUAGAAGAUUCAGUGAGAGCCAAGUUUUCUUUUCUCACUGUAAUCAUAGGGAUUGGUUCAUUAGGUAAAUUAAGAAAAUGAAAUUAAAAAUUAAAACAGAAAAGGAACUCCAAAAACAAAAACAACAAAACAAAAUUCAUUUAUCCUCUUCUUAGAAUUUCAGCCAAAUAAAGGUAUAUCCAAGUUGAACCUCCCAAUCUAAAAAUCUGAAAUCUGAAAUGCUCCAAAAUCCAAAACUUUUUGAGCACCAAUAUAACACCAUAAGUGAAAAAUUCCACAUCUGACUGCAUGUGGCAGGGUGCAGUCAAAUGCAUUCGAAACUUUGUUUCAUGCUCCAAAUUAUUUAAAAUCAUGUAUAAAAUUACCUUCAGGCUACCUGUAUAAAGUGUAUAUAAAACGUAAAUGAAUUUCGUGUUUAGACUUGGGUCCUAUCCCCUAUCCUGAAGAUACUUCAUUGUGUUUAUGUAAAUAUUCCAAAAUACAAAAACAAAAACCAAAACCCAAGUUUAAAAUACUUCUGGUCAGUCCCAAGCACUGAAGAUAAGGGAGACUCAACCUGUAUCACAACCAGCAUUCCACCUUGGCAAGGCCAACAGCAAGCUUAAAUUACAUAUGCUAAUAUGUUCUCAGUCUCUCUGAAACUAUGGUUGUCAAUUUGUUGUUUUGAUGUUACCUCUAAGUAGUCAUCAAAAGUAAGAAAAUAUUGUGUUACAUUAAGGUUACGCUAUAAGUCUCAGGAGAGGGCUGCUUACGUAAGCAGCUAAAGGAAAGCAGCACUAAUGAAUUGGUAUCCCAUUUCAGUUAUUGUUAAAAUAUACACCAUGACAUUCAAUAUUCAGUGUUUUUUGAAAUGGUUUAAGCAUAACUCUUUAAUAAGAUCUUAAAUGCCCAUUCUUAUUUAAAGUCAUUUUUGGUUUUCACACUAAAUUACGCUUUUUUUCCCUUUACUUUUGCAUCUAUUAACUCUAUUCCUUAAAUUAUUAUUAUUUUUACUUUUGUUUCUCAAGGAGUUAUCUCAAUUUUGAGGAAUCAUGCUGGGGCAAGGAUUGCAGUUGAAGUAUUUUGCUUUUGGAGUGUAUAAUAGUAUGAAUAAUUUUGUGAUGUUUUGGGGUUUGGAUUACUUUGGGAAGAUCUGUGUCAUUAAACAUCAUAAAAAGAA